rnacentral:rRNA from 1 species
GAUGAACGCUGGCGGCGUGCCUAAUACAUGCAAGUAGAACGCUGAAGCUUGGUGCUUGCACCGAGCGGAAGAGUUGCGAACGGGUGAGUAACGCGUAGGUAACCUGCCUCUUAGCGGGGGAUAACUAUUGGAAACGAUAGCUAAUACCGCAUAAAAGUCGGCAUUGCAUGAUGUUGACUUGAAAGGUGCAACUGCAUCACUAAGAGAUGGACCUGCGUUGUAUUAGCUAGUUGGUGAGGUAACGGCUCACCAAGGCGACGAUACAUAGCCGACCUGAGAGGGUGAUCGGCCACACUGGGACUGAGACACGGCCCAGACUCCUACGGGAGGCAGCAGUAGGGAAUCUUCGGCAAUGGACGGAAGUCUGACCGAGCAACGCCGCGUGAGUGAAGAAGGUUUUCGGAUCGUAAAGCUCUGUUGUAAGAGAAGAACGAGUGUGAGAGUGGAAAGUUCACACUGUGACGGUAACUUACCAGAAAGGGACGGCUAACUACGUGCCAGCAGCCGCGGUAAUACGUAGGUCCCGAGCGUUAUCCGGAUUUAUUGGGCGUAAAGCGAGCGCAGGCGGUUAGAUAAGUCUGAAGUUAAAGGCUGUGGCUUAACCAUAGUACGCUUUGGAAACUGUUUGACUUGAGUGCAGAAGGGGAGAGUGGAAUUCCAUGUGUAGCGGUGAAAUGCGUAGAUAUAUGGAGGAACACCGGUGGCGAAAGCGGCUCUCUGGUCUGUAACUGACGCUGAGGCUCGAAAGCGUGGGGAGCAAACAGG